rnacentral:rRNA from 2 species
CAGCCGCCGCGGUAACACCAGCCCCCCGAGUGGUGGGGAUGAUUAUUUGGCCUAAAGCGUCCGUAGCCGGCUCUGCAAAUCUCUCGUUAAAUCCAACGUCUCAAGCGUUGGUCUGCGGGAAAUACUGUCUGGCUAGAGAGUGGGAAAGGUCAGCGGUAUUCUGGGGGUAGGGGCGAAAUCCUUUGAUCCCCGGAGGACCACCAGUGGCGAAGGCUGCUGACUAGAACACGUCUGACGGUCAGGGACGAAAGCUGGGGUAGCGAACCGGAUUAGAUACCCGGGUAGUCCCAGCCGUAAACGAUGCAUGCUAGGUGUUGGGUUGGCCACGAGCCACCCCAGUGCCGCAGGGAAGCCGUUAAGCAUGCCGCCUGGGAAGUACGGUCGCAAGAUUGAAACUUAAAGGAAUUGGCGGGGGAGCAC